GAUGAACGCUGGCGGCGUGCCUAAUACAUGCAAGUCGAGCGAACAGAUGAGGAGCUUGCUCCUCUGACGUAGCGGCGGACGGGUGAGUAACACGUGGAUAACCUACCUAUAAGACUGGGAUAACUUCGGGAAACCGGAGCUAAUACCGGAUAAUAUAUUGAACCACAUGGUUCAAUAGUGAAAGACGGUUUUGCUGUCACUUAUAGAUGGAUCCGCGCCGCAUUAGCUAGUUGGUAAGGUAACGGCUUACCAAGGCAACGAUGCGUAGCCGACCUGAGAGGGUGAUCGGCCACACUGGAACUGAGACACGGUCCAGACUCCUACGGGAGGCAGCAGUAGGGAAUCUUCCGCAAUGGGCGAAAGCCUGACGGAGCAACGCCGCGUGAGUGAUGAAGGUCUUCGGAUCGUAAAACUCUGUUAUUAGGGAAGAACAAAUGUGUAAGUAACUAUGCACGUCUUGACGGUACCUAAUCAGAAAGCCACGGCUAACUACGUG
rnacentral:rRNA from 1 species